rnacentral:rRNA from 1 species
UACGUAGGGAGCAAGCGUUGUUCGGAUUUACUGGGCGUAAAGGGCGCGUAGGCGGCAAUUCAAGACACUUGUGAAAUCUCCGGGCUUAACUCGGAACGGUCAAGUGAUACUGCUUUGCUAGAGUGCGGAAGGGGCAAUCGGAAUUCUCGGUGUAGCGGUGAAAUGCGUAGAUAUCGAGAGGAACACCUGAGGUGAAGACGGGUUGCUGGGCCGACACUGACGCUGACAGCGCGAAAGCCAGGGGAGCAAACGGG